CAGGCUGACUGGAUGGAUGGACUAUGUCUCUCUGAUGGUGGGAUGACCUGUAAGUGCAGCACUUAACUAGAUGGAAUGACACUCCAGUCAUCUGCUUUCCAAUGAACUCUUACCCUCAGAUAUUCCAGGAAGAAUGCAUUGUCCCUCAACCACUUUGAUAAUUGGAUGGAAUUGUGCUCCUUCUCUAUUGUAGUUGGAUGGACGGACACUAAUCCAUUGUGAAAGAUGCAAGUACUGCCACUCAUCCCAUUUUGCUGGCUGGAUGGAGGGUUAUGCGCACAAUUAAUGCUGCGAGACAGUAAUGCUAACCACUACAACACCGUGCUGACGAUGAGGAGCAGGAGGCUGGAGUGGACUCUGGAGGCGCUGCCUGACAAUGCUGGGACUCUGGGGGGACUGAGCUGAACGCAGCCCACCCCAGUCAGCAGAGCACCUGGGGCAACACAUCUUUCUGAACGCCUUCCCAUUUGGUAACAUGGAGCACAAGGGUCAUGGCGUAGUAUUGAGCAGCAGGCUGCUUGAUAGAGGACAAAGGCUUCCCAGAGCGUCUUAAGAACUGCAUUCUGCAAAAGGGCCUGUAGUCUGAAUUGACCCCGUCUGAGAGAAGGUGAGGCCUGUGUAUCUGACAAAGCCUGCCAUAGAGUAACCAACUGACUCACACUGGAUUGGAUGGAUUAAUUAGACGUGUCGCAGUAUGUAAGAAGCAGCGGUGGUUUGAUGAGACGUUCCAAUACGGCAUAAUUAAAAUGUUCGCUGUUAGAGUGAAUUAACCACCGCAGUUCUACUGCUGGAGUACAAGUCUAAUCGUAGCGGUGCUGGUGGGAAUUGUACACGUCCUAUUACACUGCCAGACUCCUCUUCUAUUCUCUUUUGAUCUUGUAUGAGAAAUUAACCUGUUUACAAGUUCCAGUUAAUCUUUUAUUAAUGCACCAGAAGCUUCGGAACUGUAUAAUCAUACUUCAAACAAGCUGAGGUGAGACCUCCCAACAUCGUAUGAGUUAUUCCACCUAUUCCCUCUCCUAAUACAUAGAUUUUGGUUUUAUAACUUUAUAUGGUCCAGGAAUGAAAAUACAGUUAAAAAAUGUAUUACGUUUAAUUAUUCUGUUGUUUUCUGUGGAUAAAUUGUAGUGGUCAGUUCAUGCUGCUAUAGGUUCUCCCGGCACGGUAACGGCUGCACCUCUGCACUGCGACAGGAGGACAUGGACUAAAUAUAAGGCUCUGUGUGAUAUAGAUGGCCUUCUGAGCUGAUAUCACCAGACGGAGGACCCCAGGCCUGGUUCAUUAUCUGACAAGCAAGAUGUGGUAUUAUCUUUGCUUUUCAUGUCAUAGCUAAGGUUUGGAAACCAGCACACUGUCAUUUGUCCUCAGAUUUGAGAAUUUGCCAAGAGAUUGCAAACACGGAUGUGAAAAUCAACUGGUUACCGCACAUCAGUAAACAAUCCAACACUAGGGCUGCAUAAAAUGAGGUCACUGAAUGGAUGUUUACGUCAAUUUGGACUCAGCCGCAUUGUUGGCAAGCUUUAUCGCUUGGUAAAAGAGCGAAGUUGCUGUGUUUCUCCAAGGAAACGCGUGAAAUUUUGAGCCCAAAUAUAGGUGAAACGCGUCGCUCAUCUCUUGGUAAAAUAUAACAGAGUUCUACGGAAUGGUCCACUUAGCGUCUGCGAAAAAUCUCAAUGCUGUAGAGCAGCAUUGCAACA